GACAGAGGGGGCAAGCGUUGCUCGGAAUUACUGGGCGUAAAGGGCUCGUAGGCGGCCAACUAAGUCGGACGUGAAAUCCCUCAGCUUAACUGGGGAACUGCGUCCGAUACUGGAUGGCUUGGAUUUGGGAGAGGGAUGCGGAAUUCCAGGUGUAGCGGUGAAAUGCGUAGAUAUCUGGAGGAACACCGGUGGCGAAGGCGGCAUCCUGGACCAAUAUUGACGCUGAGGAGCGAAAGCUAGGGGAGCAAACGGG
rnacentral:rRNA from 1 species